UGCAAGUCCUAUUUUUGAGAUGAGUCAUA
rnacentral:piRNA from 1 species